CAUCCUCUUGACAGUUGCAAGCCUGCCGC
rnacentral:piRNA from 1 species